GACGUAGGGCGCGAGCGUUGUCCGGAUUUAUUGGGCGUAAAGAGCUCGUAGGCGGCUUGUCGCGUCGACUGUGAAAACCCGUGGCUCAACCAUGUGGUCUGCAGUCGAUACGGGCAGGCUAGAAUUCGGUAGGGGAGACUGGAAUUCCUGGUGUAGCGGUGAAAUGCGCAGAUAUCAGGAGGAACACCGGUGGCGAAGGCGAGUCUCUGGACGACACCUGACACUGAGGCACGAAAGCUAGGGGAGCAAACAGG
rnacentral:rRNA from 1 species